UACGUAGGAGGCGAGCGUUGUCCGGAUUUAUUGGGCGUAAAGAGCUCGUAGGUGGUUUGGUAAGUCGGAUGUGAAAUCUCCAGGCUCAACCUGGAGGGGUCCUUCGAUACUGCCAUGACUAGAGGCAGGUAGGGGAGAAUGGAAUUCCCGGUGUAGCGGUGAAAUGCGCAGAUAUCGGGAGGAACACCGGUGGCGAAGGCGGUUCUCUGGGCCUGACCUGACGCUGAGGAGCGAAAGCGUGGGGAGCGAACAGG
rnacentral:rRNA from 1 species